rnacentral:rRNA from 1 species
UGAGGAAUAUUGGUCAAUGGGGGAAACCCUGAACCAGCGACGCCGCGUGAAGGAUGAAGGAGCUUUGCUUCGUAAACUUCUGUCGGGAGGGAAGAAAAGCCGGGUCGCCCGGCUGGGACAGUACCUCCAAAGGAAGGGUCGGCUAACUACGUGCCAGCAGCCGCGGUAAUACGUAGGACCCAAGCGUUGUCCGGAUUUACUGGGUGUAAAGGGUGCGCAGGCGGAUCUGUGCGUCAGAGGUUAAAUAUCCCGGCUCAACCGGGAAGGUGCCUUUGAUACGGCAGGUCUUGAGUACGAGAGAGGAUGGUAGAAUUCCUGGUGUAGCGGUGAAAUGCGUAGAUAUCAGGAGGAAUACCCGUGGCGAAGGCGGCCAUCUGGCUCGUUACUGACGCUCAGGCACGAAAGCGUGGGGAGCAAACAGG